rnacentral:lncRNA from 1 species
UUGGAUGGAUAGUGUUAAUGUAAUGCUUAUGCACCUCAUUCUUUCUCCUUAUCCGUAGCCAUUCGGAAUCCAUAAUAAAUGUCUUUUUUUUUUUUUUCUUUUUUUGUAACUCAUUAGGGCAGCAGCAGCAGGAGCAAGCUCCUCUGUUGUGACUUGUGAGAAGCAAAGCGAGCACUGGGUUUCCUUGCACAAUAAAAGGCAG